CUGGGACAACUUUGAGAUGCGGGUGCACAAGAGGGUGAUCGACCUUGUCAACUCCUUGGACGUUCUCAAGCAGAUCACCAUUGAGAGGUUGAGAUGACCAUUAACAACGAGUAACUGUUGUGAAGGUAGCCAAGGACAUGCAGAUGCUGGUGAUGGGCUCUGUUAGGAUGCCCACGUAGGUGCUCAACAUCACCACUGGGAAGUCCCCCUGUGGCGCAAGGUGAGCUGGAAGUGGUGGUGCACCGCCUUGCUUAUGGCGCCAAUGAGAUGGUGGGGUUGUUGCCCCGUGACGUCGGCGUCAGCUCCCACGACUCCAUCACCAGCUACCACUACGUGGGGCACUUGUGCACAAGGAUUCCUGGUUCCAGCUACUCGGGGCACUUGUGAACGUAUUGGAUUACUGGUGCGUUAUGCAAACAGCGGAUGAUCUGCUACUCCUAUAGAUGAGUAAGGAAGCAAACAAAAGGACUGCACCCACAAGGAACCGUGAGGCCAGCGAUCCGCGUCAACUGCAUGUUUUAGCUUUCAUUGUGUACAAAUAACAUCUCAGACUUGUAUCUUUUAGCUAUCUCUUUCUGAACAUGAUGCAUGGUGUCUUGGUGGAUAUCUUUAGAACAGACUGAAGUAUAUGUAUGUGAUGAUUAGUUAAUGAAACAAAAAUGUUUGGUGCACCUGAUGUGAAUCUGUGAUGUAUGGUGUCUUGGUGAUUUCAUUAUAUGUAUGUUAUAAUCAGUACCAUAA